UACAGAGGGUGCGAGCGUUAAUCGGAAUUACUGGGCGUAAAGCGCACGUAGGCGGCUUUGCAAGUCGGGUGUGAAAUCCCCGGGCUCAACCUGGGAACUGCAUUCGAAACUGCACUGCUGGAGUAUGGGAGAGGGAAGCGGAAUUUCCGGUGUAGCGGUGAAAUGCGUAGAUAUCGGAAGGAACAUCAGUGGCGAAAGCGGCUUCCUAGACCAAUACUGACGCUCAUGUGCGAAAGCGUGGGGAGCAAACAGG
rnacentral:rRNA from 1 species